AGAUUGAACGCUGGCGGCAUGCCUUACACAUGCAAGUCGAACGGUAACGCGGGGCAACCUGGCGACGAGUGGCGAACGGGUGAGUAAUACAUCGGAACGUGCCCAGUAGUGGGGGAUAGCCCGGCGAAAGCCGGAUUAAUACCGCAUACGACCUACGGGUGAAAGCAGGGGAUCGCAAGACCUUGCGCUAUUGGAGCGGCCGAUGUCAGAUUAGGUAGUUGGUGGGGUAAAAGCCUACCAAGCCUACGAUCUGUAGCUGGUCUGAGAGGACGACCAGCCACACUGGGACUGAGACACGGCCCAGACUCCUACGGGAGGCAGCAGUGGGGAAUUUGGACAAUGGGCGCAAGCCUGAUCCAGCCAUGCCGCGUGCGGAAGAAGGCCUUCGGGUUGUAAACCGCUUUUGUCAGGAAGAAACGCUCUGAGCUAAUACCUCGGGUAAUGACGGUACCUGAAGAAUAAGCACCGGCUAACUACGUGCCAGCAGCCGC
rnacentral:rRNA from 1 species